CGGGGGUUCUAAAAUUUGAACUAUGAAACAUUUACAAGAAACCCCCUGCGCAUCUUCAAAUUGUACAAAAAUAGACGACGACAGGCGUGCGCGGCUCGCGCAUGAAGAAUCGGCCGCCGGCGAGGCUACAGGCCAGUGGAGCUCCGGUCGCCGGCCUGAUCCCAAUCCUUAUCCCCUGCCAAAAAUGUCCUGAAGCUCCUCCGCUGCCUCCGGCCGUGGAUCAACGGAAUCGAGGCCAUCUCCUCCCACCACGACCGCCGCUGCCCCCACGAGCUCGACGCCGACGGGCGACCUCACUCCUCCCUGAGCCAGUCCGAGCUCCGCCGCGCCGAGAGCUACGCCCGCCUCGAGCCACGCUUGUCGGAAAGCAACGAAUCAACUGAAUCGCCGCCGUCCCCUCCCAAUCCGGUCGCUGCUUGCCGCCGCUGAAGCUCGUCACGGCUCCUCCGGUGAACACAAAACGUCGGCGUCGUGCUUCUGCUUCUGCUUCUGCAGCCGGUCGAGCUCGUGCUUCUGCUUCUCCCCUGCAGCCGAUGGAGCUCGAGCUGCUGCUGCUUCCCUGCCUUCGAGUUCUUCUCUGAAGAAGUUACAGGUUGUUGCUGCUGCUCCUUGCUCUGUAAUUUUCUCAAAGAAUCUGAAAUUGCUGCUGCUCCUUGCUCUGUAAAAACAUUCCCCACUGAAAGCAUUGGAAUAAAUCAUAUACUCCAUGUUCUGACCAUGUUGCCCCACGGUAAGAAGAGCAACAUUGUGCUUGAAUUGGAUUGGAGUGUUGCUGUCAGAGAGUUUUUGGUUUCAGAUUCCUUAGAUAGAUACCAAAAUCUUGCGCGGUUGCAAUUAGUGUGUUCUUGGAUUCAGAUCUGGUUCAGGUUCUAGCCUACUGCAGCAUGAAUCAAUCAAGCAAAUCCCCAUUUCUGAACCUAUGCUAAUCUUGCAAGCAGUAUAACACCAGGCAAUGUACUCCAAAUACUAUAAGAACUGGAGUAAUCACUUCAUCAUGGAAAUCCUCAUGAUGAAGUGAUUUUGGGAGGCUCAUUGGUUCUACAUAGCCCUUUCUUUUUGCACCUUUUAUUUGUGAACUGAACUUCCUUUAGCACUUGCGAAUCCUCAUAAUGUUUGUAAUGCUACAAGUGUUUAUGUAGCUGAGGAUUUUGGAGUGUACCUGUUGAUGUUAAGCUGCAAGAUUGGGCUCUACAUACCACAUAGCCCUUUGUUGCUCUUGAUUGAAGUCGUCUUCCACUGCAUCUCAUUUGCUUUGCUUCUGAAGGUGAAAAACAUGACAGACCUGCCGAGAAGCUACAUUUCUGAAAGGGCAUUUUGCCAGGCACCAAGUACCAGUGCAGAGAUGUUAAAAAAACAAAAAGUACCAGUGCAGGGUUUUGUUAGCAUUCACAGUAAAAGUAAAAAAUAAAUAAAUAAAGUAAAUGCAUGGCUAAUUUGUGUGACCAAAGAACACAUGGCUAACAGGACAAUGCUUUUCUAGAGACCAGCUGUGAGAUGCUUAUUCCAUUUAGCUGCCUUGCAUUAGUAAAGAAUAUCACUUUGUAAAAUAAAGUAAAUAUGGAAUUUGCUUUUCUGCAGGAUAUCACUUUGUAAAAUACCUUAUCAGUGUUGAUUUGCUUUUUACUUUUUUCAGGAAAGAACAAGUUACUAACACUUCUUCAGGGAAGAACAAGAAAUUAUCAUUUUUACAGGGAAAAGAAUAAAGUUACCUGAGCAAGUGCUCCACCGCCGCAAUGAUGUUUGGGAUUGAUCUCAACAUAAGUCCUCGACAAGAUAAUGCCUCAGAACCUGCAGAUCAACAGGAAGAACACAACAGUCAACAACGAUACAACAAUGAAGAACCAGUCAAUAAUGAAGCAACAGGGGAAGAAACAAGUGGUGUAGAGGAACCAAUUCAUGAAGAAGCAAGUGGUCUAGAGGAAGCAAUUCAUGAGGAAGCAAGUGAUGUACAGAAACCAAUUCAUGGGGAACUCACAAAUGAGGAGAGAUAUGGUAUUUAUUUUGCACUCAUGGUGAUCAAGACCCAAAAUGGACAAGUUCUGAAAAAAGACAAGGAGGUCAUUGCUAGCCUACUCGAUACAACCGUAAGAACUGUUGAGAGAAUAUGGGAAAGAGCUCUUAAACAGAUUGAAAAAGGGGAGAAAGUUGAUGUCUCAAAUCAAAAGCCAGGUAGAGUUGGCCGCAAGCGGAAAGAUUUGGAUCUGUCGAGGGUGGUGACAAUCCCAUUGAACAGAAGGAGAACAUUGCGAGGUCUGUCAAAGGCAUUGGGUGUAAGCUGCACGACCUUACACUCAAGGUUCGAGUGGGGUCAUUUGAGGCGUCA